rnacentral:rRNA from 1 species
UACAGAGGUCCCAAGCGUUGUUCGGAUUCACUGGGCGUAAAGGGUGCGCAGGUGGUUUCCUAAGUCCACUGUUAAACCUUGAGGCUCAACCUCAAAUCUGCAUUGGAAACUAGGAGACUUGAGUAUAGUAGGGGUAGAGGGAAUUUCCAGUGGAGCGGUGAAAUGCGUAGAUAUUGGAAAGAACACCGAUGGCGAAGGCACUCUACUGGGCUAUUACUGACACUCAGAGACGAAAGCUAGGGGAGCAAAUGGG